rnacentral:rRNA from 1 species
UACGCAGGGUGCGAGCGUUAAUCGGAAUUACUGGGCGUAAAGCGUGCGCAGGCGGUCUGUUAAGACCGAUGUGAAAUCCCCGGGCUUAACCUGGGAACUGCAUUGGUGACUGGCAGGCUUUGAGUGUGGCAGAGGGAGGUAGAAUUCCACGUGUAGCAGUGAAAUGCGUAGAGAUGUGGAGGAAUACCGAUGGCGAAGGCAGCCUCCUGGGCCAACACUGACGCUCAUGCACGAAAGCGUGGGGAGCAAACAGG